rnacentral:rRNA from 1 species
AGACGAACCGGACGAACGUUAUUCGGAAUUACUGGGCGUAAAGGGCGCGUAGGCGGAUUAUCAAGUCAGAGGUGAAAGCCCUGGGCUCAACCUGGGAAUUGCCUUUGAAACUGAUAGUCUUGAGUCCGAGAGAGGAUGGCGGAAUUCCCAGUGUAGAGGUGAAAUUCGUAGAUAUUGGGAAGAACACCAGUGGCGAAGGCGGCCAUCUGGCUCGGUACUGACGCUGAGGUGCGAAAGCGUGGGGAGCAAACAGGAUUAGAUACCCCGGUAGUCC